CGCGGUCCGGAGUUGAUGGUUUAUCAGAAAUCUUUCUCUCUCUCUCUCUCUUUCCUUCUGCUUGCAGAGGAAAACCCCGGCUUCCUUGUGAAACCAAAACCUCGUUCUUCAGUCUUUCGACUGUCGAACGAAACCCGCAUUCCUCCAAAGAAUGCAACCCUUCCCAUCAACACCAACUUGACCGC
rnacentral:sRNA from 1 species